rnacentral:rRNA from 1 species
UGCGACAAUGGUGGUGAGUUUAUCAACUCCACACUCCGUGCGUUCUUCUCCGCUAACGGCAUUACCUACCGCUUCUCGUGCCCUCACACCUCACGAUAGAAUGGCAAGGCCGAAUGUCUUCUUCGCACUAAAAAUGACAUCAUCUGCACUCUCCUCGGCCAAGCCAACCUCCCCCCCUUUUGGGCUGAAGCCUUGCACACGGCCACAUGUCUCCUCAAUCGUCGCCCUUCACGUGCCAUUCACAAUCACACACCAUACUACAUGCUUCAUGGCAUUCACCCCACGUACGAUCAUUUGCGAUUGUUUGGGUGUCUUUGUUACCCCAACCUCUAUGCCACAUCUCCCCAUAAGCUAGCCCUCCACUCCACUCACUGCAUUUUCCUUGGUUAUCCCCUUGAACACAAGGGGUGUCGCUGCUACGAUCUCGCACAACGACAUGUGAUCGUAUCCCGUCAUGUCACUUUUGACGAGAACAUUUUCUCAUAUGCACCGCCCGCACCACCGCCCCAAUCCGCCCGCUCCAUAGAAAAUCCCAACCCGCCUACCCUCAAAAUCGCUGCCAAAUUCGUUCCCCUCCUCACCUACCUCGUACAAGGACCCACGCAAUCCUCUGAAUGGGACGCUCCCGUGCAGUCCACUCUCGUCUCGCGAGCUCCUCCCCAGCCCACCAACCACAUCCAUGUGCAGCCCUCCCUCUGGAUUGCACCGGUCCCCCGCACCUGCCUCCACACCACCCCCGCGCCCACGUGCUUCCUCGGGCCUCAUGCCUGCCUUGCCUGUCGCGUCCGAUUCCUUGGAUCGUCCACCCAAUUACCCUGCCUGCGGAUCCUCCUUGGAUCUCGCGCCUGCCAAUCCUACCACCGACCCCACACCAUCCACCUCUGA